UGAGGAAUAUUGGUCAAUGGGCGGAAGCCUGAACCAGCCAUCCCGCGUGCAGGAAGACGGCCCUAUGGGUUGUAAACUGCUUUUCCAGGGGGCGAAACUUUCCGAUGUAUCGGGAUUUGACGGUACCCUGGGAAUAAGCAUCGGCUAACUCCGUGCCAGCAGCCGCGGUAAUACGGAGGAUGCGAGCGUUAUCCGGAUUUAUUGGGUUUAAAGGGUGCGUAGGCGGAUCGAUAAGUCAGUGGUGAAACCCUGCAGCUUAACUGUAGACUUGCCGUUGAUACUGUUGGUCUUGAGUGUGGUCAAGGUAGGCGGAAUGUGUAAUGUAGCGGUGAAAUGCUUAGAUAUUACACAGAACACCGAUUGCGAAGGCAGCUUACUGGGCCAUUACUGACGCUGAUGCACGAAAGCGUGGGGAUCGAACAG
rnacentral:rRNA from 1 species